GAUGAACGCUGGCGGCGUGCCUAAUACAUGCAAGUCGAGCGAACAGACGAGGAGCUUGCUCCUCUGACGUUAGCGGCGGACGGGUGAGUAACACGUGGAUAACCUACCUAUAAGACUGGGAUAACUUCGGGAAACCGGAGCUAAUACCGGAUAAUAUAUUGAACCGCAUGGUUCAAUAGUGAAUGACGGUUUUGCUGUCACUUCUAGAUGGAUCCGCGUCGCAUUAGCUAGUUGGUAAGGUAACGGCUUACCAAGACAACGAUGCGUAGCCGACCUGAGAGGGGAACCGGCCACGCUAGAAGAGAAACACGGUCCAGACUCGUACGGGAGGCAGCAGUAGGGUAUCUUCCGCGAUGGGCGAGAGCCUUACGGAGCAACGCCGCGUGGGUGGUGAGGGUCUUCGGAUCGUGAAACUCUGUUAUUAGGGAAGAACAAAUUUGUAAGUAACUAUGCACGUCUUGACGGUACCUAAUCAGUAAGCCACGGCUAACUACGUG
rnacentral:rRNA from 1 species